UUCGUCGUCGUCCUCGAUCGAUCGAUCCGUGUUUUGUUUUGCGAUCUGUGUGAUUCGAUCUAUUUUGGUUGAUUGUUUGGUUGCAUUGCGCCGAGGCGAUCGGCCGGGGUCGUGAUCUGGGUUGACAGAAGAGAGUGAGCACACGGCGGGGACGGCAUCGCGGUGGUGCUGUCGCUGUGGCGUGCUCACUUCUCUCUCUGUCAUCUCCAUCUCCCCGGGCCGGCGGCGGUGACGCCGGUGAGGGAAAACUAAUCGAUCGAGGUGUUCCUUUUGUUCCCCCUUUGGAGAUGAUAUAGAAAUACGGUCGAGGGCUGGCAAUGGACUUGGUCUUGCUUAUCUCGUGUCGGCCAUCUGCUGCUCUCUGGCCGAUACGUUCCAUCCGAUGGGGUUUCCGAGGCAGGGGUUUGCAGUGUAUCAUUUUAUGGCAGGUGUGGCGUAAACGUCUUGGGGACUUGAUCGAGCUUUCUUCCUCUCUAAUAAUCGUUGUUGAAAAUGCUAAACCUGAUGGAUCAGACCGAAGAAAUGGAAAAAAAAUUAAUUUUUUUAAGGUGGAUCGGCGUGUGCAAGCGUGACUUUUGAGAUGAAUAAUACUUUGGAUGGCGACCGGAAUUGGAUAACGAUUGAGGGGAGGUACGCAUAACAUCCCAAUCUGUAUCUCCUGCCUCUUGUGCGGAUUUAACAGCAUCACUGUUAACUUUGUUUUCUUUCUCCAGCUCCUCUUCCUCGUCUUCGAAUUUCUUUUUCUUUUUUUGGGUUUUUUUGUGGACUCCUUCUUGCUUGCUUUCUAAUACGUUCUUAUGACUUUCUCUCUCGUUUUAAGAAGCUGAAGGCUGCUUCGGACAUGUUGUUGAUCCCCGAUUUCUGGGUCGUUGGCUCCGUUUUUGGUCAGUGGCGAAGCAAGUUGAGGAAGCAAGUGCAUCCGAGUGGAGUUUUUGUUCCUUGGUUCAUAACAUGUUGGGUAGAAGGCUUCGAUAGCUCGAGGUUCUAUCACCGUACAGGUUCUUGAAGGUUGAAAUGAAAUUUGUAGCAAUGUGGAUUGUUUUCCCCGUCCAACGUCUUAAAGUUAAUGGGCCAAACAGAACAGGGCUGAUCGUGACCCUCUUCCAGUGGACUUCUGUCAGGAUGCCUCCACGCUUCCAUACCCCAUGAUGGAACCGUCGACGACAGAAGCUAGACCCUGGUGAAGACCCUUGCCCACGAUAUCCUCAUCUGUCGGGACCUCCGUCUAUUCCGACUUGUGUGACCUCCUGUAUUGUCUUGUAGCAGGUCAAGUUUGGCUCUUUUUUAGCAUAAAUAUUUCCAUAAUUCUUUAAAAAAGUAUGGCCUUCCGUUUUCUUUCUUUCUCCUCUUUUUCUCUUGAUGGAUGCCAGGAGGUGUUUUCCAGACUGAACGAAGCAUAUGAGGAGAGGAUGAUGCAAUUAUUGUUUGGAAGUAGCUGCUAUGUGAGCUUUGCAUAGUGACGGAUGAUUCGAGGAAAAAGUUUUUGACAUUGGAGACGGUAUAAUUUGACAUGCAAGACUGAAUCUCCCCCUCGUAUCUUGGCAGAAUUUAGUUGCAACAGAAGGCCCAUCAGAUUGAAGUAUGCAGGAACAAAUUCGUCAGAAUGUCAUUGUUAUUUAUUGUGGGAGCAUACUUUGUUUCAUCUUAGAAUUAAGUUCCUAAUAAGUUUAUCAUCCAUUCUCUGUAACCAGAGAUGUUAUAGCUCAAUCAAAGAUAGGAAAUUACAGAUUGGAUUUACAGUCAACUCUAGUCUUAUCUGACAACGCGACUUAUCCUUUAAACUUUUUGGCCAGGCCCAUUGUACAAGUCAGUAACAGUUCUUGUGCAUGGGCUGCUGCAAAUGCUAUCACCGUUCACCAAUUAAUUGUCUUUAUACUGAAACUGUUGGCUGUCUCAUCCUACAACUCAGCUUCCCUUAAGUCUAUGACAGUUAAGCCAUUAAAUUCUUCCUCUUCCUCCCAAUGUGAUGGAAAUUGGAAUGAACUAUUUCUGCUCAAGAAACUAGGCUAUU